AAUAAUGGUAAUAAUAAAGCGAGAAGGAAAAUUCAUUUAGAAAAUAAAAGACUGUUCUGCUUCUGAGUUUUCUCGGUAUAAUUAGGGUUUAAAAAGGGUUUUUGUAAUCUUCUCUUUCUUGUCAUCCUUGUUUUUUUUUUUCUGUUCAAAGAAAGAAAGAAGCUGAUAAUGACAAUGGAGGAAGGCAGUUUUACAGCCGGAAAAAGGAAAAGAAAUCUGGGUAAAAAGAAAGGUAACAAAGCCAAAAAUAAGAAGCUCAAGAUGUUGGAGGGUAAAGGAAAAAAGUUUAAAGUAAAAAAAUGAGAUAUCUGUUUGAGAAACGUGCCCGUGACUACAAUUCUGAUGACGAGGAGGAGGAGGAAAAGGAAGACACAGUGGAGGAGGCAGUUUCUCAUGAUACCCCGAGAGGGCGCGGCGGAGAUCUUUCUUUUGAAGGAAGUGAUGAUUCAGAAGGAGAAGAACAAGGAGGAGGUGAAAUUCAACCUGGGAUUAUGAGGUUUACGGAAGGUGUCAGAGCAUUCAGGUUGGCAUUUAAGAACAUUAUAAAGAGGAAUGUGGCUGAUGAUUCAUUGGGUCCUGUAUUAUCAGGGAUAAGCAACUUGUUGCAAAGAAGUUAACUGAAGAAGAAGCUGAAAGGAAAGUCAAAGGAGAAGCUAAGAAAGAAAAACAUUUGGAUGCAGAGAAAGGGCAUGUGAAGCCUGCAAAUUACUUGGAUUCACAGGAAAAGUUUCUAAUCGGUAUUGCUACAAAAGGAGUGGUGAAGUUAUUCAAUGCUGUGAAUAAAGCACAAAAGGCUCAGAAAGGAUUGGACCCUUCGAGGUCUAAAGAUGCAAAAGUGAUAAGGAAGCGAAGGAAAGAAGCCUUCUUUUCAGAGCUAGGCAAGACAUCAUUGCCAGCACGCGAUUAUUCUAGUAAGGGUAAUACAUCUUCUGAUUCUUUGAAUGAUGAAGGACCUGCUUGGGCCCCAUUGCGUGAUAAUUACAUGCUAACAAAUCCUAAGUUGAAGGACUGGGAUAAAAUGGCGGACUCGGCAAUAGUUGAUGAUGUUGGAAGGAUGUCUGUAGAUAGUGGUUCAGAUGAUGAUUGAUGUCCUUUGAGCUUGAGAUUAAGUAGUAGUGUUCUUGCAGGCCAUAGUAUAACAGCUGAACCUGAAUUUUUUUUCCCUUUUUCUUUACUUCUUCCCAAUUUUGUGUGGUGGUCUAUUUAUUAUUUAUAAAUGAAUUAAACCAAGAGGAAUGAUUGUUCUCCAUACUGCCUUAAUUUGCACUCUGAUCGUUCAUUGCUCCAUUGUUGAUGCAUGAAAGGAAGAUAUUGGAGCAUAGUGAGCCUAUGGAUUUAUUGGUUCUUUUAUAGCUGAUGAUGAUGUGUUCAUCCUGGUAGUUACUGUAAUCAAACCAGAUUUCCAAUAUGUAUUUUGUUUUAGUUGUUGAAAAUAAUUAACGAAAUUUUUAUACA